UGCAAGUCGAGCGCGAAAGGCUUUCGGGCUGAGUAGAGCGGCGGACGGGUGAGUAACGCGUAGGAAUCUACCUGGUAGUGGGGGACAACUUGGGGAAACUCAAGCUAAUACCGCAUACGCCCUAUGGGGGAAAGCGGGGGACCUUCGGGCCUCGCGCUAUCAGAUGAGCCUGCGUAGGAUUAGCUUGUUGGUGAGGUAAAGGCUCACCAAGGCGACGAUCCUUAGCUGGUCUGAGAGGAUGAUCAGCCACACUGGGACUGAGACACGGCCCAGACUCCUACGGGAGGCAGCAGUGGGGAAUAUUGCGCAAUGGGGGCAACCCUGACGCAGCCAUGCCGCGUGUGUGAAGAAGGCCUUCGGGUUGUAAAGCACUUUAAGUGGGGAGAAAAGGGUAGCUGUUAAUAGCGGUUACCUGUGAUGUUACCCACAGAAUAAGCACCGGCUAACUCCGUGCCAGCAGCCGCGGUAAUACGGAGGGUGCGAGCGUUAAUCGGAAUUACUGGGCGUAAAGCGCGCGUAGGUGGUUUGUUAAGUCAGCUGUGAAAGCCCUGGGCUCAACCU
rnacentral:rRNA from 1 species